ACCUGAAGAAAGCCAAUUGGAGCAAUUGGAGGAAUUGGAGUCGUCGGAGUGUUAGGGAGUAAACAAACGGCUGAUUAAUUUUGAAGAUUUCAAGAUUUUUUAAUAAUGGGAGAGGUUGAUAUUGGAUUUGUGGAGGAGUGUGAACGAUGGAGGCUGCAGAGUAGAUUUUUUCCGAGCAAAGUUGGAGGAGAGCCUGCAUGGUUGGAUCUGAAAAAUGUACCUGGGGCUGAGGAUGUCCAGUGUGGAACGUGUGGUGAUCCAUGUGUAUUUCUGUGUCAAGUUUAUGCACCUUAUUUCGCCAAUGAUGCAACUUUUCAUCGAACAAUUUUUGUCUUCGUUUGUAAGAAGAGCGAGUGCUGUAAGGAGAAUUAUGGGGGAAAUCUCAAGGUUAUCAGGGAACAGUUGGGGAGGAAAAAUGAAUUCUAUCCGUUUGAUGCACCUGAGGAGAGGGAAGACUGGAGACCGGAUUUGACUAUCGAUAAAUGGACAAAGACCUGUCACGUUUGUGGAUUGUCAGCCCCCAGUAAAUGCGCUAAAUGUAGGGAAGUCAGUUACUGCUGUAAAAGUCAUCAAGUCAUCGAUUGGAAGACAGGACACAAGGAGAUCUGUAAUGAUCCAUCGAAGAAACUUGAAUCACCGCAUAAAUUCCUCUUUUCCGAGUUGGAAUUGAUUACAGAAUCAGAGAAUUCAGAGGAUUCUGAAGAGGAGGUGGAUGAGGUAGAGAGGGAGAAACGGGAGAUGGAGAAGUUCAAGUUGAUGGUCAAGACUGGAAAAGCUGGGACACUCCAGUCGGAGAAGGACGUCGAUGGGGAUUUGAUGAAAAUGGUGGAAGAUGAGGACGAGGUUUUCACAGAAUUCAGGAACAGAGUUGAUAAACAUCCAGAUCAAGUUCUCCGGUACGAUCGAGGGGGCUCUCCUCUCUACAUCUCUGCGCACAAUCAACCCGAGAGCAUUCCAAAGUGCGAGGAAUGUGGUGGUGACAGACAAUUUGAGUUUCAAAUCAUGCCACAAUUGUUGAACUACCUGGGCUCCUCCGAGGAUGUGAAGGACCUCGACUGGGGUGUCUUGGCAAUCUUCACAUGCAAAAAUUCAUGCAUACCCAAAUCUGGAUAUUGCUCUGAAUUUAUCUGGAAACAGGAUAUUGUUGGAUCGAAAAAAUCCCUGUCCAUAAAAAAUUCUUAAUUCCAUCACUGAAUAUCCAAUAGAAGAUUAAGAACUGGAACUUCCGGGAUUUAUUCUUAUUUAUUGCACAUUAUUACUCUUUGAAUUCGAGUUUUAGAGACUAGAAAAAUAUUCAUGCAAUUGCGAGAAAGCUGACAUUACGGGGAAAAAUACUGGAGAGAAAUUAAUGCAUAUUGCACGUAG